GGUCCACGCAUCUAACACACAUCUACACAGCAGUGACUACCUCCAAUAUCUUUAUCAAGCUCACGCAUUCCACAGGUAAGAAUCCGAUCAGGUAAGAAUCAGAUCAGGUACGAAUUAGAUCAGGUACGAAUCAAAUCAGGUUAGAAUCAGAUCAGGUACGAAUCAGGUCAGGUAAGAAUCAGGACAGGGAAGAAUCAGAUCAGGUAAGAAUCAGGUCAGGUAAGAAUCAGAUCAGGUACGAAUCAAAUCAGGUUAGAAUCAGAUCAGGUAAGAAUCAGAUCAGGUAAGAAUCAGGUCAGGUAAAAAUCAGAUCAGGUAAGAAUCAGAUCAGGUAAGAAUCAGGUCAGGUAA
ensembl:lncRNA